UCGGGAAUUUUGGGCAAUGGGCGAAAGCCUGACCCAGCAACGCCGCGUGAAGGAUGAAGUAUUUCGGUAUGUAAACUUCGAAAGAAUAGGAAGAAUAAAUGACGGUACUAUUUAUAAGGUCCGGCUAACUACGUGCCAGCAGCCGCGGUAAGACGAAGGAUGCAAGCGUUAUCCGGAUUCAUUGGGUUUAAAGGGUGCGUAGGCGGACUGAUAAGUCAGUGGUGAAAUCUCUCGGCUUAACCGAGAAACUGCCAUUGAUACUGUUAGUCUAGAGUACAGAUGAUGUGGGCGGAAUAUGACAUGUAGUGGUGAAAUACUUAGAUAUGUCAUAGAACACCGAUUGCGAAGGCAGCUCACAAAACUGUAACUGACGCUGAGGCACGAAAGUGCGGGGAUCAAACAGGAUUAGAUACCCAUGUAGUCCCUGAGCGGGCUGGCAAGGCGCAU
rnacentral:rRNA from 1 species